rnacentral:rRNA from 1 species
GAUGAACGCUAGCUACAGGCUUAACACAUGCAAGUCGCGGGGCAGCAUGGGGGUUGCUUGCAAUCUCCGAUGGCGACCGGCGCACGGGUGAGUAACGCGUAUCCAACCUGCCCUUCACCACGGGAUAACCCGGCGAAAGUCGGACUAAUACCGUAUGUUGUCCAUUGACGGCAUCCGAUUUGGACGAAAGGUUUGGCGGCGAAGGAUGGGGAUGCGUAUGAUUAGCUGGACGGCGGGGUGACGGCCCACCGUGGCCACGAUCGGUAGGGGUUCUGAGAGGGAGGACCCCGACACUGGAACUGAGACACGGUCCAGACUCCUACGGGAGGCAGCAGUGAGGAAGAUUGGGCAAUGGGCGUAAGCCUGAACCAGCCAAGUAGCGUGCAGGAUGACGGCCCUAUGGGUUGUAAACUGCUUUUAUGCGGGGAUAAAGUGGCCCACGUGUGGGUUUUUGCAGGUACCGCAUGAAUAAGGACCGGCUAAUUCCGUG